GAUACUAAAGGAUAGAAAGAGACCUUUCCAGUUUUCACCAAUCUUGCCCACUUAGCCUGAGCAUUUUUGUGGAGAAAGGAGUGAGGAGAAUACUUCUGAGCAGACCACUCAGUUGUGCAGGGACUCAGUUGAGUCUGAGAUGCUUUCUGUAAGGAACCAAAUCUUCCCAAAGCUCCAAAAGAGAAUGCCUGGUAGUAUAUUAUAAUCUUUCCAUGGUGGUAUGUUGAUUGUUUCCGUUGCUGCUAUUGGUAUGUAUUAUUAUUGUUGUUAUUAUUGUUUUGAUUAUUAGGCCUGGCUUUUCUUCCUUCCCGGAUAUCCCCAUUACCCAUGGCCAUAACAGUGCAGUUGGUUGCUGUCCCUUGCCAUAGUGCUGAAAUAGUUCCCUGGCCAUGGUGCUGAUAGCAGUAUCACUGUCUAUCUCUUCAUUCAAAUUCUGGGCAUUGGUGUCUGUGUGUCUGUAUGUCUAUGUGGUAGUGUGGGGUGUGGGUGUGAGAUGACAUUUGAUCAGACUUCUGGAACUUCUCAAAAAGAAGCUAAAAGACCCUGGGGUUGGGGAGGGAUCUUGUUUUCUUCUGCUGCUUUGCUCGGUUGUCUUCUCUUUCAGCCACUAAGGACUCGACCUGGACAAAUUGAAAUCCCAUCCAGAGUCUGGAGCCUCAGAAAUGCUUGCUCAGUUUCUUCCUUACGUUCAGCCAGUUGGUUGGACUCUUUCAGCUCUACUCCCAGAUGGCUGCCUGACCCGGACUUCAACUUCUGCUACAUCCUGACUCGUCUCCCUACCUGGAGAAGUGACCAGUCCUGUCCAGAGUUCCAUCUCCAAGUCCCAGAUGGAAGAUAUGCAUCCUGGGCAGACAGACCUUCUCAGGAUCUCCCUGCCACCUUGUCCCUAUCCCACCCAGCAGACCGCCAUUUAAGGCACCUACAUCAAGCCACUUGAGGAGCUCACCCCUAGGGUCAACCUCCUUCUCCUUGGUCCUGGGUACCAGAAUGAGGAUGGAUGCUUGACCUUUCCAGAUUAAUAGCCUAUUCUUAAAGAAAUCUCCAGAGAGGAAAAUUGGGGGGAAGAAAAGAGGCUGAUAUUAAUUUCAGGAAUAUUUACAUCCUGGUCAGCAUCUGAGAGAACUCUGUGCCCCAGAAUAAUGUGAUAUUAUCGACAGUGUCAAUGGCCUACAGAAUAAAACCCUGCUUUGUAGAAUAGUACGAUUUCCU
rnacentral:lncRNA from 1 species